rnacentral:rRNA from 1 species
UACGUAGGGGGCAAGCGUUGUCCGGAUUUAUUGGGCGUAAAGAGCGUGUAGGCGGCUAGGUAGGUCCGUUGUGAAAACUCGAGGCUCAACCUCGAGACGUCGAUGGAAACCAUCUAGCUAGAGUCCGGAAGAGGAGAGUGGAAUUCCUGGUGUAGCGGUGAAAUGCGCAGAUAUCAGGAGGAACACCGAUGGCGAAGGCAGGUCUCUGGGCCAUAACUGACGCUGAGAAGCGAAAGCAUGGGGAGCGAACAGG